rnacentral:rRNA from 1 species
UACGUAGGGACCAAGCGUUGUUCGGAUUUACUGGGCGUAAAGGGCGCGUAGGCGGCGUGGUAAGUCAAUUGUGAAAUCUCCGAGCUUAACUCGGAACGGUCAAUUGAUACUGCUGUGCUAGAGUACAGAAGGGGCAAUCGGAAGUUCUUGGUGUAGCGGUGAAAUGCGUAGAUAUCAAGAGGAACACCUGAGGUGAAGACGGGUUGCUGGGCUGAUACUGACGCUGAGGCGCGAAAGCUAGGGUAGCAAACGGG